ensembl:snRNA U6 U6 spliceosomal RNA
AUGCUCGCUUCGACAACAUGUGUGCUAAAAUUAGAACAAUACAGAGAAGAUUGCAUGGCCCUGUGCAAGGACGACACGCAAAUUCAUGAAGCGUUCUCAUAUUUU